ensembl:lncRNA
ACAACCUCCAGCUGUUUCCAGCCAGAGUCCUUGUUCAAUCCUCUGAAGCAGCCAAGUGGACUCAGCCCAGCCAGAGUCCAGACUGCCCGCUGAAGGCUGUGAGAAAAUGUGAGGUCAGAGGUCAUCCUGCAGACUCCGUGGAUGGGGACAAACUGGACCAGAGCCUAGGCUUGGAACCAAACGGAACUGUAAGUUGCGGUGAGCUGGGGACUAUUCUGCAGUCGCAGCACGCAGGCUUAUCACUGUGGUGGCUUCUCUCAUUGCGGACCACGGGCUCCAGAGAACUUCCCUGACCAGAGAUCAGAGAUCAAACAUGUGCCUGCUGCAGUGGAAGCAUGGAGUUUUAGCCACUGGCCCAAAAGGAAGUCCGAGUGUAUCGUUUUACAUAAAGUAAU